AGACCCGAAACCCGGUGAUCUAGCCAUGGGCAGGUUGAAGGUUGGGUAACACUAACUGGAGGACCGAACCGACUAAUGUUGAAAAAUUAGCGGAUGACCUGUGGCUGGGGGUGAAAGGCCAAUCAAACCGGGAGAUAGCUGGUUCUCCCCGAAAGCUAUUUAGGUAGCGCCUCGUGAAUUCAUCUCCGGGGGUAGAGCACUGUUUCGGCUAGGGGGCCAUCCCGGCUUACCAACCCGAUGCAAACUGCGAAUACCGGAGAAUGUUAUCACGGGAGACACACGGCGGGUGCUAACGUCCGUCGUGAAGAGGGAAACAACCCAGACCGCCAGCUAAGGUCCCAAAGUCAUGGUUAAGUGGGAAACGAUGUGGGAAGGCCCAGACAGCCAGGAUGUUGGCUUAGAAGCAGCCAUCAUUUAAAGAAAGCGUAAUAGCUCACUGGUCGAGUCGGCCUGCGCGGAAGAUGUAACGGGGCUAAACCAUGCACCGAAGCUGCGGCAGCGAACGUAUCACCCAAGACAACUUUACGGAGUUGACGAUUGACGGAGCGAAGCGACGUCA
rnacentral:rRNA from 2 species